rnacentral:rRNA from 5 species
AGAGUUUGAUCCUGGCUCAGGAUGAACGCUGGCGGCGUGCCUAAUACAUGCAAGUCGAGCGAACGGACGAGAAGCUUGCUUCUCUGAUGUUAGCGGCGGACGAGUGAGUAACACGUGGAUAACCUACCUAUAAGACUGGGAUAACUUCGGGAAACCGGAGCUAAUACCGGAUAAUAUUUUGAACCGCAUGGUUCAAAAGUGAAAGACGGUCUUGCUGUCACUUAUAGAUGGAUCCGCGCUGCAUUAGCUAGUUGGUAAGGUAACGGCUUACCAAGGCAACGAUGCAUAGCCGACCUGAGAGGGUGAUCGGCCACACUGGAACUGAGACACGGUCCAGACUCCUACGGGAGGCAGCAGUAGGGAAUCUUCCGCAAUGGGCGAAAGCCUGACGGAGCAACGCCGCGUGAGUGAUGAAGGUCUUCGGAUCGUAAAACUCUGUUAUUAGGGAAGAACAUAUGUGUAAGUAACUGUGCACAUCUUGACGGUACCUAAUCAGAAAGCCACGGCUAACUACGUGCCAGCAGCCGCGGUAAUACGUAGGUGGCAAGCGUUAUCCGGAAUUAUUGGGCGUAAAGCGCGCGUAGGCGGUUUUUUAAGUCUGAUGUGAAAGCCCACGGCUCAACCGUGGAGGGUCAUUGGAAACUGGAAAACUUGAGUGCAGAAGAGGAAAGUGGAAUUCCAUGUGUAGCGGUGAAAUGCGCAGAGAUAUGGAGGAACACCAGUGGCGAAGGCGACUUUCUGGUCUGUAACUGACGCUGAUGUGCGAAAGCGUGGGGAUCAAACAGGAUUAGAUACCCUGGUAGUCCACGCCGUAAACGAUGAGUGCUAAGUGUUAGGGGGUUUCCGCCCCUUAGUGCUGCAGCUAACGCAUUAAGCACUCCGCCUGGGGAGUACGACCGCAAGGUUGAAACUCAAAGGAAUUGACGGGGACCCGCACAAGCGGUGGAGCAUGUGGUUUAAUUCGAAGCAACGCGAAGAACCUUACCAAAUCUUGACAUCCUUUGACAACUCUAGAGAUAGAGCCUUCCCCUUCGGGGGACAAAGUGACAGGUGGUGCAUGGUUGUCGUCAGCUCGUGUCGUGAGAUGUUGGGUUAAGUCCCGCAACGAGCGCAACCCUUAAGCUUAGUUGCCAUCAUUAAGUUGGGCACUCUAAGUUGACUGCCGGUGACAAACCGGAGGAAGGUGGGGAUGACGUCAAAUCAUCAUGCCCCUUAUGAUUUGGGCUACACACGUGCUACAAUGGACAAUACAAAGGGCAGCGAAACCGCGAGGUCAAGCAAAUCCCAUAAAGUUGUUCUCAGUUCGGAUUGUAGUCUGCAACUCGACUACAUGAAGCUGGAAUCGCUAGUAAUCGUAGAUCAGCAUGCUACGGUGAAUACGUUCCCGGGUCUUGUACACACCGCCCGUCACACCACGAGAGUUUGUAACACCCGAAGCCGGUGGAGUAACCUUUUAGGAGCUAGCCGUCGAAGGUGGGACAAAUGAUUGGGGUGAAGUCGUAACAAGGUAGCCGUAUCGGAAGGUGCGGCUGGAUCACCU